UCCAAUGGUGACGCUUAUGAGAAGCCUUUGUGGCCCAGCAAUGGGUUGCCCGCCGCGACUAUAAACAAGAGAUUGUGGGUAUUAAAUGCAAGUCAGCCUAGCUGGCGACACUUUCGAAUUGCGGGAACACCCUAAAGCCAGUCUACACCAACCAGCUGAGGAAACUCUGCUUGGGGCUCAUGCUAACAACAUGAGGUAUGGUAAUAGUGAGAUUGGAUGCUAACAAUGGGUAAUCCGCAGCCAAGGUCCUAAGGCAUAAUUUGCUAUGGAACAGGUUCACAGACUAAGUGGAAGUGGGUUGUCUUCAAAAGAAGGCAGCUUAAGAUAUAGUCGGGCUUGCUGAGAAACCAGCGAGGAGUCACUAUGACCAUGUAACAAACUGUUCCGUAGGUGAACCUGCGGAAGGAUCAUUAAAACAAAUUGUCUUUUAUGAUUAUUUCAACCACUUGUGAACCAAAAAACCUUACGCUUCGGUAGCAAGCUCGGUCCCUUCAUUGGGUCGAGCUGUCAGCCUGCCGGCAGCACUUCAAACUAAACUUGUUUUAAAACAUUGUCUGAACAAAACCAUUUUCGAAUGAAAAUUAAAACUUUCAACAACGGAUCUCUUGGUUCUCGCAUCGAUGAAGAACGCAGCGAAACGCGAUAGUUAAUGUGAAUUGCAGAAUUCAGUGAAUCAUCGAGUCUUUGAACGCACAUUGCGCCCAUAGGUAUUCCUUUGGGCAUGUCUGUUUGAGCGUCAUUACAACCCUCAGCGCAAGCUGGUUAUGAGUUGGCUGAACACUUCUGUUUACAGAGGUCGAAGUCCGGCUUUAAAGUUGUAUGCUCUGCUGGCUGCUUUGCCUGACAAAACAUAGUAAUUCUUACAUUGUUUACAGAAUGGCUUUGCGAGUCCGGCCUGAAUAAAAUCAACCCUUUCUUAGGUUGACCUCAGAUCAGACAAGGAUACCCGCUG
rnacentral:rRNA from 1 species